rnacentral:lncRNA from 1 species
AGGGGUUCAAGUUUUGGCUUAUGUAGAAUUUUUAGUUUUGCUCUUAAAUGAAUCUGGACACUGGCAUAUAGGCCUAAUAAAUAAUAGUGCUUGUUCAUGACAUAAAAAGAGCUUGUGGCCUAGUGGUAAAGUGGCGUGUUGUGUAACUGUGAGGUCUGAGGUUCAAGUCUUGGGUUGCACAAUGGAGUACUUAUUUUGCUGCUUGAGCUGUGUAGGAAGUGGAGUUGGACUGAAACACAGCCAAAGGGAGUUUGAAUGGAAUUUGAAUGGAGUUGUCGGGGGAGUUGAGGAGAAAUAGGUGAAGUGAUUCAAGGAAGGGAUAAGGGGAGAGAUUUUAGGAGAAAACGAAGGGAAGUGAGGGGAAAGGAGAGGGUAUGCAAAAAUUGAACUUUGUACUCAGGAAAAAUUCAGCCAGAGGGGAUAUUUCUCAUAUUGGUUUUGUGUAUCGUUUGUUUUUGCUUUGCUUUUUGGUGCCGAAUUUUACUAAGAGUUAGAGUACCUAUCAAGUUUUCUUUUUCUGCUAUCUCCUUUUAUUUUGUGGUUUUGGCCUAAUUGUUUUGGUUCCCUCAUUUGUCAAAUUUCCCUUUUUCUUUGUCAUUCAUCGGCUUUUGGUUCUCCAUUCUUUUCUCUCUUAUUCUAUUCCACAGUUUGUGUUCUCUUAGCCAAAUACCUUUUUGUCUUUCAAUCGGUUUACCUUUGCCAGGCUAUUCUUCUUUUACCUUCUAGUCGAAUAUCACCCUAUGUAUCAUUUUUUGCGCCAAUCUUUUCUCCACUGAUUCUUGUUGUUCUUGUGCUGCAGGUGUUUCUGGCCUAUCGGUAAAGCGUUUAUACUCAUCACUUUUGAUUAAACCUAUUCUUUUCUAUUCUUCUUCUUAAAACCAAAUACUUUUAUUUUAUUCUUUGAUUACUGACUGUUGAUUCGUUCCUCUUAAGGUGUUACUCAUUGCAGUUUAGAGCUUCCUUUGGGGAGUGGUGUUUUGAAGUGGUCGCAUCCCUUGUUCUCAAUGUUCAAACAAGGUAAUAUGCUACCUCACUUUUGAGGUUUAAGCCAUAUGCUAUCUAUGUUCCUAUAGGAUACCGUUCACGAUUUGUAGCCACUUAUAUGGCCUAACUUAGUUUUGUGAUAUUUGUUUGUGGUGUAGUUAAUCGAUAAAAGUGUGUGACCACUUUUGGUUGGCGGUCUUGGAGGAGUAGAGUUGCCCUCUUUCAAGCAAGGUAAGGAAGGUAUUUUGAAUUAAGUGUCAAUAAAAGGGUGUUUUACCCUAACAAUUAAAGGAUUGACUUUGGGUCAUGGUUGAAUCUAGGUUGGGGUGCGUGGAGAUUUGCGCUCUUCUCAUAAACAGGUGUGUAAUCACCCCACUACAACCGUAGAUUGGCGAAAAGCUGAAAAGCCAUAAACAUGGUGUUUGAGACCACACGGGCAUGUGAUCGCUCAAGUGGUAAGCCCAACUUGCGAUUCGUGGGCAAAUGACCAAAAUACCCUCAAUGGGUAAAAUGAUCGAAAUACCCCCGAUGGUAAAAUGACCAAAAUACCCUCGAUGGGUAAAAUGACCGAAAUACCCUCGAUGGGUAAAAUGACCAAAAUACCUCCAAUGGGUAAAAUGACCGAAAUACCUUUAUAGGGUAAAAUGACCAAAAUACCCUCAAAUGGUAAAAUGAUCGAAAUACCCUAAAAGGAUAAAAUAACCGAAUUACCCCCGAAGGGUAAAAUGACCGAAAUACACUUGAAGGGUAAAAUGACUAAAAUACCCUUGAAGAGUAAAAUGAUCGAAAUACCCUUGAAGGGUAAAAUAAUCGAAAUACCCCUUAAGGGUAAAAUGACCAAAAUACCCUCUUAGGGUAAAAUGACUGUUCUACCCGUAGGAGUUGAGAUGUCUGUAUGGCCUUAUAUAUGUAUGACUAAUUUGCCCUAAGAUAUGUAUGUUUAUGAUUGAAUAUGACACAUACACGUAUGAUUUAUGACAUAACAUACUGCAUGGGGUUGGGAUAUUGAUAUGGGGGAAGUGUACUGUACUGGUGGCUUUGACACAUAUACUGUUACUGGUAACUUCACUGCGAUACUUUUACUGGCAGCUUUGCUGCAAUAUUGGUGUGUUGGCUGGAUGGGUCGAUUUUAUCCCCACAUGGUGUGUUGGUGGUACGGACUGGUGUGUUGGCUAGAUUGGGAUGGGUUGUAUUAUUACACUGUACUAAUACUGUAUUGGGCUAAGGCCCACACUGUUACUAUAUCAGGCUAAGGCCCACACUGUUACUAUAUCGAGCUAAGGCCCACACUGUACUGUUACUGCAUAGGGCUUAGGCCCAAACUGUUACUACAUGUUGUAGACCAACUUUUUGGUAGGGGAUUUCACACUGAGUUUCGUAAACUCACCCUCUCCUUUUACCUGUGCAGGUAAUACUCAGCCAUAAGCAAUUCAGUGCUGCGAGGGACUUGGAGGUGGCCACACAACUACCGCUGUUUACACUUGCUUUUAAUUUAAUUUAAUUUAAUUUAUAUGUUGGGUUUUUUUUUGUAAUAAGGCCUUUAAGUUUGUUUAAAAUUUUAAUUGGGCUUCCGCUUACCUAUUUUAAACUGCUAGUUAGGAGAAGACGGGUUUUAAAAUAAUUAUUGUUUUCAAAUACACGAGUUUUUAAACAGUAUCUGAUAACAAGGCAAACAUUUUUGUUUUGUUAACUAAUAUGUGAUACGCCAAAUUCGACCAUAAUGUCUAGGCCGAGUAUGGGGUGUUACAAUUUG